GCAGCCGCUCAGACGAUCGCCGGCCGAGCCCGCCUCAUCACUCGAGGCGGGCAGAGCGGGAGGAACGUCCGAGCUCCACAGGGCGAGAUGCCGGGUAACGCCCGGUGCGGGUGACCGCGAGGAAAGUGCCACAGAGAAGAGACCGCCGCGCCAUCGCCUCGAGAGGGGCGAUCGCACGGUAAGGGUGAAACGGCGGGGUAAGAGCCCACCGCGUCGGCGGUGACGUCGACGGCACGGCAAACCCCAUCUGGAGCAAGGCCACGUAGGGGGGCGACGAUCGAUCCGGCGCCGCGAGGCGUCGGGUCGAGAGGAAGGACGGCCCGUCCGGUGCCCCCGGGUAGGCUGCUGGAGGCGCGCGGUAACGCGCGUCCUAGAGGAAUGAUCGUCACCGCGAGAGGGGCGACCCGAUCGCGGAACAAAACUCGGCGUACGAGCGACUGCGGCC
rnacentral:RNase_P_RNA from 1 species